rnacentral:rRNA from 1 species
UGCAAGUCGAGGGGUAACAUUGUGCUUGCACAGAUGACGACCGGCGAACGGGUGCGUAACGCGUAUAGAAUCUACCUCUUACUAAGGGAUAGCCCAGAGAAAUUUGGAUUAAUACCUUAUAGUAUGCAGACUUGGCAUCAAGAGUGCAUUAAAGAUUACGGUAAGAGAUGACUAUGCGUCCUAUUAGCUAGAUGGUGUGGUAACGGCACACCAUGGCAACGAUAGGUAGGGGCCCUGAGAGGGGGAUCCCCCACACUGGUACUGAGACACGGACCAGACUCCUACGGGAGGCAGCAGUGAGGAAUAUUGGACAAUGGAGGCAACUCUGAUCCAGCCAUGCCGCGUGCAGGAAGACUGCCCUAUGGGUUGUAAACUGCUUUUAUACAGGAAGAAACACUGCUACGUGUAGCAGCUUGACGGUACUGUAAGAAUAAGGAUCGGCUAACUCCGUGCCAGCAGCCGCGGUAAUACGGAGGAUCCAAGCGUUAUCCGGAAUCAUUGGGUUUAAAGGGUCCGUAGGUGGAUAAUUAAGUCAGAGGUGAAAUCCUGCAGCUCAACUGUAGAAUUGCCUUUGAUACUGGUUAUCUUGAGUUAUUAUGAAGUAGUUAGAAUAUGUAGUGUAGCGGUGAAAUGCAUAGAUAUUACAUAGAAUACCAAUUGCGAAGGCAGAUUACUAAUAAUAUACUGACACUGAUGGACGAAAGCGUGGGGAGCGAACAGGAUUAGAUACCCUGGUAGUCCACGCCGUAAACGAUGGUCACUAGCUGUUCGAGCUUCGGUUUGAGUGGCUAAGCGAAAGUGAUAAGUGACCCACCUGGGGAGUACGUUCGCAAGAAUGAAACUCAAAGGAAUUGACGGGGGCCCGCACAAGCGG